rnacentral:rRNA from 1 species
UACGUAGGGGGCAAGCGUUGUCCGGAUUUAUUGGGCGUAAAGGGCGCGUAGGCGGAUCAGCAAGUCCGGGGUGAAAUCUUUCGGCUCAACCGGAAAAGUGCCUUGGAUACUGCUGGUCUUGAGGGAGGUAGGGGCAUGUGGAACUUCCGGUGGAGCGGUGAAAUGCGUAGAGAUGUGGAGGAACACCAGUGGCGAAGGCGACUCUUUGGCCUGUAACUGACACUGAGGCGCGAAAGCGUGGGGAGCAAACAGG